rnacentral:rRNA from 1 species
GAUGAACGCUAGCUACAGGCUUAACACAUGCAAGUCGAGGGGAAACGGCAUUGAGUGCUUGCACUCUUUGGACGUCGACCGGCGCACGGGUGAGUAACGCGUAUCCAACCUUCCCAUUACUGUGGGAUAACCUGCCGAAAGGCAGACUAAUACCGCAUAGUCUUCGAUGACGGCAUCAGAUUUGAAGUAAAGAUUUAUCGGUAAUGGAUGGGGAUGCGUCUGAUUAGCUUGUUGGCGGGGUAACGGCCCACCAAGGCAACGAUCAGUAGGGGUUCUGAGAGGAAGGUCCCCCACAUUGGAACUGAGACACGGUCCAAACUCCUACGGGAGGCAGCAGUGAGGAAUAUUGGUCAAUGGACGGAAGUCUGAACCAGCCAAGUAGCGUGCAGGAUGACGGCCCUAUGGGUUGUAAACUGCUUUUGUAUGGGGAUAAAGUUAGGGACGUGUCCCUAUUUGCAGGUACCAUACGAAUAAGGACCGGCUAAUUCCGUGCCAGCAGCCGCGGUAAUACGGAAGGUCCAGGCGUUAUCCGGAUUUAUUGGGUUUAAAGGGAGCGUAGGCUGGAGAUUAAGUGUGUUGUGAAAUGUAGACGCUCAACGUCUGAAUUGCAGCGCAUACUGGUUUCCUUGAGUACGCACAACGUUGGCGGAAUUCGUCGUGUAGCGGUGAAAUGCUUAGAUAUGACGAAGAACUCCGAUUGCGAACGCAGCUGACGGGAGCGCAACUGACGCUAAAGCUCGAAGGUGCGGGUAUCAAACAGG